UACGGAGAGUGCGAGCGUUGUUCGGAAUUACUGGGCGUAAAGGGCGUCUAGGCGGCUUGCCAAGUCAGAUGUGAAAUCCCUCGGCUCAACCGAGGACGUGCAUCUGAAACUGGUGAGCUUGAGUAUUGGAGGGGGCAGUGGAAUUCCCGGUGUAGAGGUGAAAUUCGUAGAUAUCGGGAGGAACACCAGUGGCGAAGGCGGCUGCCUGGCCAAAUACUGACGCUGAAGCGCGAAAGCGUGGGGAGCAAACAGGAUUAGAUACCCUGGUAGUCCACGCCGUCAACGAUGGGUGCUAGCUGUACUGGGUGUUGACCCCCGGUGUGGCGAAGCUAACGCGUUAAGCACCCCGCCUGGGGAGUACGGCCGCAAGGUUAAA
rnacentral:rRNA from 1 species